CAAAUAUAUAUGUAAAGAAAAAAUAUUAUUUUCUUUACUUUAAAUAUUCCCUAUAUUUAUAAUUUAUAUAGACAACAUAGGAAACCUUUUUUAUUCGGUUUGUUAUAUCUGGUUGAUAGAUAAGAUUGUCUAGCUGUCACGACGAAACAAUUAUUGAUUAAUAUUUAAAAGAUAGUUAUUUAAGAAAUUAUUUGUGAUUUUGGAUUCGACACUGGAAUUAAUAACAUUAAAUGUCGUUUCUUUUAUUACAGAGAAACUCAAUUGUGUUUUAAUUGAUUGUGUCGUCUAAAUCACAAGAAAAUUUUAUCUUACAAAACGACAUUUCUUGUCAAAAAA
rnacentral:misc_RNA from 1 species